UAGGGAAUCUUCGGCAAUGGGGGCAACCCUGACCGAGCAACGCCGCGUGAGUGAAGAAGGUUUUCGGAUCGUAAAGCUCUGUUGUAAGAGAAGAACGUGUGUGAGAGUGGAAAGUUCACACAGUGACGGUAACUUACCAGAAAGGGACGGCUAACUACGUGCCAGCAGCCGCGGUAAUACGUAGGUCCCGAGCGUUGUCCGGAUUUAUUGGGCGUAAAGCGAGCGCAGGCGGUUUAAAAAGUCUGAAGUUAAAGGCAGUGGCUUAACCAUUGUUCGCUUUGGAAACUGUUAAACUUGAGUGCAGAAGGGGAGAGUGGAAUUCCAUGUGUAGCGGUGAAAUGCGUAGAUAUAUGGAGGAACACCGGUGGCGAAAGCGGCUCUCUGGUCUGUAACUGACGCUGAGGCUCGAAAGCGUGGGGAGCAAACAGG
rnacentral:rRNA from 1 species